UACGGGGGGUGCGAGCGUUGUCCGGAAUCACUGGGCGUAAAGAGCGUGUAGGCGGCCAGAUAGGUCCGUUGUGAAAACUGGAGGCUUAACCUCCAGCUGUCGAUGGAAACCAUCUGGCUAGAGUCCGGAAGAGGAGAGUGGAAUUCCUGGUGUAGCGGUGAAAUGCGCAGAUAUCAGGAGGAACACCGGUGGCGAAGGCGGGUCUCUGGGCCGAAAUUGACGCUGAGGAGCGAAAGCGUGGGGAGCAAACAGG
rnacentral:rRNA from 1 species